ACCUUCCCACCACUUGAUGUAAGUCUGGGAUUUUAUUCUUCUUGCUCCCCCAGUCCCUAGAGGCUUUCAUGUUUCACCAGUUUUGUGUACCUUCCCACAGGGGGGAGGGUAGAAUAUCCUUUCCAAGCUGGAAUCUGGACUUAAACCAUCCCCCAUCCGACUCCUGUAACUCUACAGUGGCCUCUACAUCCCAAAGAGGAUAAGGGGGGGUGCGUGAGACAGCAGGCUUCCUGGGACCCUGAUGCCCAGGAAAGUCAGGGGUUUCUAACAGCUGCUUCCUAUCUCAGAGUGUCCAGACAACCUAAACACUAUCAGUCCUGAAGCUAAUCCUCUUUAUUGGUGGACACUGCCUUCUGUGUUUCGUGAGCCAUAACAUGGAGAACAUCAGCAUGGGGGGGUCAGAAAGAUGUGGACACAGGCUACUGGCUAGCUCAUGGCUCUCCAGUCUAUUCCAGGGACCCCAAGAGAAUGAGGGACACUGACACAGGUGGGUGACCCUGAAACCACAAAGCGCCCAUCCAAAUGUUAGCAGCUAAGUUAGAGCCUUGCCCAUGUGCCUACAGCAAGCAGGAAGGACACUGGUGAGGAGUGGCAAAGGUGUCCCUAGACGGGAAGGGCUCAGCUCCCCUCAACAGAAGAAGACUGAUGGGUUACUAGCUCUGCAGAUGGCUCCUCUAGAUAAAAUCCAAAUCCUCUGUGGUGCCCCUGGAUACCCUAGAGAUAGGACAAGCUGGAGAGAGAGAAGAUGGACACUGGAGUCACAAAACGAGCUAUUAAAGGAGUUUCAGUGAAAGCAGACACAGAGAGGGGUGGAAUGUUUGCCCUGUGUCCUGGUUUUAAAGUUCUGACUCACUGAUUCCCUGAGCUUCCCAUCCCACCCUUGGGAAGAGACUGGUUAUGAAAUCAGAUGCUUCUGUUUCUAAGCCAGGAUGGAGCAGCAGUGGAUGUCUAAGUCAUUAAAAGACUUCUAAUGGUGGGAUUUGAAGCAGGAGUUUGGACACUGUGGGGGAUACACACAUCCUACAUGGUGGUGCUUAGAUUCCAUUCCUAUCUCUACUUUGAUUCUAGCUUCUUGUGUAUGUACUCCUGGGGAGGCAGCACAUGAUGGCUCAACUGGUUGGGUCCCUGCCACCCAUGUGUCAGACCUCAAUUGAGUGCCCAGCCCCAGUAGUGGCAUUUCAGGGGUGAAUCAGCAGGUGUGUGAUAUCUGUGUCUAUGUCAAAUAAGUAUUGUUUUAAAAAAACUGUAGAGGGAAAUUUGAGAUUUGGUCUGCUUAUGAUCAUCAAAGUGGUAUUGGGGUAGGUUUUGGUUUCCAAGAUGGCUGGAGUCCCUAAAUUUUAGGCAUAAGACACAUAUCACUUGCUGCCCGGAGACCCCAAUUGUCUGGAAACCAUCCAGUAAGACCCUAAAUAUGAAUCAGCCUUUUCCUAGAAAUUCAUGAAAAGUGCUUAAAGGUCUUUUCCAAAUCCUUAACCUGUGUUAUGGCCACCAUAAAAAGAAAUUAGGAUUCAGCCCAUGUGAAUUAUCUAUGGAAGGCUCUUUCCCAAUUGUGCUGGGCCCUUGACCUGCCAAAGGUGGAAAAUGAGAACAAGAAAACACAAUGAGGGCAGGUAGUGGCUGCUCUCAUCUGGUGUGCAAAUAAGACCUACUCUCACCUACACAGGUAGAAAGCCUACCCCCUUGAUUGUAAACUGAGCUCUCUUCAGGAGCAGUUUAACCCCAUCUGGGCAGGACCACACCUGGCCCUGCUAACGACUGACUGUUCUCUUAAACUACCACACGGGAUUCCUUUAAGUCUCCACACCUGAGAGCAGAGAAGUUCUGUGUUUCACCUGAACCUUACAUGGCUCCUUGGAGAGCCUCUGUCAGACCUCAAACUGCUGCUCUACUGGGCCCCACAUAUAAUGUCAGGAAAGGACGCCUAUAAACGCCUGCCCUGUUGCCCAUAGCCUCUGGGGGCUACACCCGGUGUCUCAAGUCCUUUGUGGGUGUUGAGUAGGAGAGUCUCUCUCCACCAGCCUGGGCCAUGUCCAGGAUCAUCAAGAAGUAGUUACAGCAGCUUGACUUCCUGCCUUACCCCUCAAGAUGGGAGUGAAAUGUCUUAGGGGGCAUCUUGUAGCCAAAUGUGUAGGAUUUGGGGGAAGUGGGGAGGGGAGAAAUGGACCAGGGGCUGGGAAUGUAAACCGCCUAGAGCUUGUUUUCCUGAUGUACCCGGGGAGCUGAAAUUGUUACAUUUAACUCAGAGUGUCUGGACUGCUACAAACCACCACUGAAGCAGCAGCAAGAAGCCAGUUCGAGUCAGAUCUUGCAGACCUGAGCUAGGCUUUCCUCAUAGUGCGGUCCGGUUCUUCACCAGGGGAGGAGACGGCCGCCAUUUUCUGAACUGAGAAAGUAUGAAGAUUGGCCCGGGCGGAAGCAGGAGGGCCCUCCGGUCUGUGGCUGGCCUUGGCCAUGCCCUUCCCCCUGCUGCAGAAGCCCAGGCAGACGAUGGGGUUAGUUUCUUUGGGGGAACCCUUCUUCCCAUGGCCUACUUUUCACUAGGUUAUGUGGGGAUGCCUGAAGCCAGUGGACCCUGGCAGCGGACACCCGGAUGUGCGGCCUUCCCAGCGGCCCCGGCGAGGCCCGAAUGGUCCACAGCUGCGGGAAACGGUUCCUGGUUACAACUUGUGGUUUCAGUCGCAUCUGAGUUGAAGUCUUGGCCCAGACAUUUGCUAGCUGAGGUGUUGUUGGCAGGACGUUUUACCAUCCGUGAGUGGUCUUUUAUUUGAGAAUAAAAGUGGGGGUGUGAGCAUUGUGUUUUGUGGUUGGGACAUCAGAGUAUCAGAGUGCCUGGGUUUAGUGCCUGUCACCUUCUUGCUAAUACAGAUCCUGGGGGGUUAAGGCUCAAAUGCUUGGGUUACUGCCACCUGUUAGGGAGAUACGGGGUGAGUUCCUGGUUCUUGGCUUCUGCCUGGAGCCAUUGCAGAUGUGGGGAGUGGAUCAGUGAAUGAAUGAGAAACUGAACUCAGACACACGGAAUGUUCUUUGCUGGGGUAUUCAUCUAAUGGUUUCCAGUGACUGAGGACUGAAUGCUGGUGUUUUCUGGUUUGCCUAUUUCCCUGAUGGUUGGUUUUAGACUAUAUGCACAAGCCAAAGGGAAGAUGGACUACAAACUACGAACU